GAUGAACGCUAGCUACAGGCUUAACACAUGCAAGUCGAGGGGAAACGACAGGGAGUGCUUGCACACUCUGGGCGUCGACCGGCGCACGGGUGAGUAACGCGUAUCCAACCUGCCCACCACUUGGGAAUAACCUUGCGAAAGUAAGACUAAUGCCCAAUGAUAUUGAGUGCAGACAUCUAAUCUCAAUUAAAGAUUUAUCGGUGAUGGAUGGGGAUGCGUCCGAUUAGCUUGUUGGCGGGGUAACGGCCCACCAAGGCAACGAUCGGUAGGGGUUCUGAGAGGAAGGUCCCCCACAUUGGAACUGAGACACGGUCCAAACUCCUACGGGAGGCAGCAGUGAGGAAUAUUGGUCAAUGGGCGAGAGCCUGAACCAGCCAAGUAGCGUGCAGGAUGACGGCCCUAUGGGUUGUAAACUGCUUUUAUAAGGGAAUAAAGUGGGGCUCGUGAGCUCUUUUGCAUGUACCUUAUGAAUAAGGACCGGCUAAUUCCGUGCCAGCA
rnacentral:rRNA from 1 species